GAAUAUUGGACAAUGGGCGCAAGCCUGAUCCAGCCAUGCCGCGUGUGUGAAGAAGGCCUUCGGGUUGUAAAGCACUUUCAGCGAGGAGGAAGGGUGUUGUGUUAAUAGCACAGCAUUUUGACGUUACUCGCAGAAGAAGCACCGGCUAACCCCGUGCCAGCAGCCGCGGUAAUACGGAGGGUGCAAGCGUUAAUCGGAAUUACUGGGCGUAAAGCGAGUGUAGGUGGCUAUGUAAGUCGGAUGUGAAAUCCCCGGGCUCAACCUGGGAACUGCAUUCGAUACUGCAUGGCUAGAGUCUGAUAGAGGGAAGUGGAAUUCCAGGUGUAGCGGUGAAAUGCGUAGAUAUCUGGAAGAACACCAGUGGCGAAGGCGGCUUCCUGGAUCAAGACUGACACUGAGGCUCGAAAGCGUGGGGAGCAAACAGG
rnacentral:rRNA from 1 species